rnacentral:rRNA from 1 species
GUGCUGAAUUAUUCGCCAAUGGACGAAAGUCUGACGGAGCGACGCCGCGUGAGUGAAGAAGGUUUUCGGAUCGUAAAGCUCUUUCGUUAGGGACGAACGUGCUCUUUGUGAAUAAUGAGGAGUAAUGACGGUACCUAAAUAAGAAGCCACGGCUAACUACGUGCCAGCAGCCGCGGUAAUACGUAGGUGGCAAGCGUUGUCCGGAAUUAUUGGGCGUAAAGCGCGCGCAGGCGGGAUAUCAAGUCUGUCUUAAAAGUGCGAGGGUCAACCUCGUGAGGGGACAGAAACUGGUAUUCUUGAGUGUCGGAGAGGAAAGUGGAAUUCCAAGUGUAGCGGUGAAAUGCGUAGAGAUUUGGAAGAACACCAGUGGCGAAGGCGACUUUCUGGACGAUGUCUGACGCUGAGGCGCGAAAGCUAGGGGAGCGAACGGGAUUAGAAACCCCGGUAGUCC